UGGGCUAUAGCCAAACGGUAAGGCAGCGGACUCUGACUCCGUCAUUGUGAAGGUUCGAAUCCUUCUAGCCCAG
rnacentral:tRNA from 2 species